rnacentral:rRNA from 1 species
AUUGAACGCUGGCGGCAUGCCUUACACAUGCAAGUCGAACGGAUUCAAGGGGCUUGCUCCUUGAGUUAGUGGCGAACGGGUGAGUAAUGCAUCGGAACGUGCCCAGUCGUGGGGGAUAACGUAGCGAAAGUUACGCUAAUACCGCAUACGUCCUGAGGGAGAAAGCGGGGGACCGAAGGGCCUCGCGCGAUUGGAGCGGCCGAUGUCAGAUUAGCUAGUUGGUGAGGUAAAGGCCCACCAAGGCGACGAUCUGUAGCGGGUCUGAGAGGAUGGUCCGCCAGACUGGGACUGAGACACGGCGCAGACUCCUACGGGAGGCAGCAGUGGGGAAUUUUGGACAAUGGGGGCAACCCUGAUCCAGCCAUGCCGCGUGCGGGAAGAAGGCCUUCGGGUUGUAAACCGCUUUCGGACGGAAAGAAAAGGUUCUGGUUAAUACCUGGGACUCAUGACGGUACCUGAAGAAUAAGCACCGGCUAACUACGUGCCAGCAGCCGCAGUAAUAC